UGCGCACUACCUGAAUGCCCACCAGGCUGGUUCUGCGCAAGCUCCCAGGAAGCGCUCGUUAACUGCUUCCGGACAGGGUUUUCCGGGGCGGCGAACAACGUGGAGUCGGGCGACUCUGGAGCUUGGAUUUAGCGGCUCGCGGGCUCCGUACGCCUUGCGCUUUCAGUGAAACAGGAAAAGGUGUGUGAGCCUCCUGCUUGUUCCUUCUGCGGUUUCCUCUUGACUUUGUGCUCCUGGGCUCUGAGACCAUGAUGAGUGAUUUCGGUGAAGAGUUGACAAAGCUGGCUGUGGCAGAGGAUAACCCAGAAACGUCGGUGCUCUCUAAAACGGGAAUGCAUUUCCCAUGGCUUCACAAGCACGUUGAAGCUGUAGUGACUGGAGGGAAGAAGAGGAAGGAUUUUGCUCAGACGACAAGUGCUUGUUUAAGCUUUAUCCAGGAAGCCCUGCUGAAGCACCAGUGGCAGCAAGCUGCAGAGUAUAUGCACAGUUACCUGCAGACCCUGGAGGACUCAGACACCGACAAGAGACAGGCUGCCCCUGAGAUCAUUUGGAAGCUUGGAAGUGAAAUUCUAUUUUACCACCCCAAAAGCAAUGUGGAGACUUUUAAUAGCUUCGCUGACCGGAUGAAAAAUAUUGGUGUCUUGAAUUAUUUAAAGAUCUCCUUACAACACGCCUUGUAUCUUUUACAUCAUGGAAUGCUUGAUGAUGCGAACAGGAACCUGAGUAAGGCAGAGACGUGGAGGUAUGGAGAAAAGUCGUCUUCUCAGGAAGUGUUGAUCAACCUUGUUCAGGCUUACAAAGGGCUUCUGCAGUACUACACUUGGACCAGAAAGAAGAUGGAGUUGUCAAAGCUUGAUGAAGAUGAUUACGCUUACGCCGCCAAAACCCGAACCAUGCUCAGCCAGAGCUGCAAGACGUCUACAAAUAUCUGUGCACUGGUCAAAACCCCCGGGGUCUGGGAUCCUUUUGUGAAGAGUUAUGUGGAGAUGCUGGAGUUCUAUGGUGAUCAAGAUGGAGCCCGAGAGAUGCUCACCAAUUAUGCAUAUGAUGAGAAGUUCCCGUCGAACCCCAACGCCCACGUCUACUUAUACGAGUUUCUCAAGAGAGAGAAGGCACCGAGGGCGAAGCUCAUAAGUGUUCUUAAGAUUUUACAUGAGAUUGUGCCAUCCCAUACACUAAUGUUAGAAUUCCAUACAUUGCUUAGAAAAUCAGACACAGAAGAACACCAGAAACUGGGCUUGUCUGUGUUAUUUGAAGUCCUGGACUUCGCUGGAUGCAAUAAGAACAUAACGGCCUGGAAAUACUUGGCAAAGUAUCUGAAGCAGAUAUUAGUGGGAAGCCAUCACGAGUGGGUUGAAGAAGAGUGGAAGUCUAGGAGGAACUGGUGGCCAGCUUUUCACUUCAGCUUCUUUUGGGCGAAGAGUGACUGGAAGGCAGACACUGACUUGGCUUGUGAGAAAGCUUUUGUGGCAGGGGUCCUUUUAGGAAAAGGUUGUAAAUAUUUUCGGUAUAUUUUAAAACAAGAUCAUGAAACCUUGAAGAAGAAAAUCAAGCGAAUGAAGAAGUCUGUGAAAAAAUACACUAUUGUAAAUCCAGGUGUUCACACCUAGAUUUUAACUUAUUUUACAGUUAUCGCUACAGUGUAGUGGUUCAUUUACACAUACACGCACUUGUGCACAUGCGCAUGUGGAAGCUAGAAGUCAGCUGUGUCACUCGCUGCAGGAGCCUGGCUUUGAGACCCUCACUGAGACCUGGAGGAGGCGCUCGGCCUCCCUCCCACCUGUUUGUUCCUCCACCAGCUUCAUUUCCACACCCCACAGCUACUAAUGGGUGCUGUUGAGUGGGGGGUAGAGAGUCGAGGAGGAGGAGGAGGUGACACCAUGUGACUCUCCAGUCCUUUGACUCUAGAGGACUGAUUUGAGUCAGAGUGCUAGAAGAGAUGUGGUUGACCUUAAAGGCGUGGUGUGCUAGGAUACUUGGAUGUUCCCUCAGAAAUGAGAAUCCAGCUGGGCGGUGGUGGCGCACGUCUUUAAUCCCAGGAGGCAGAGGCAGGCAGAUUUCUGAGUUUGAGGCCAGCCUGGUCUACAGAGUGAGUUCCAGAACAGCCAGGGCUACACAGAGAAAGCCCGUCUCAAAAAGAAACAAAGCAAAACAACAAAAAAAGGAGGCUCCAACAGUAGCAUCUCUAUCCAUGAAGUAGCGUCCUGCAGGCACUGAGUAAGUAAGCACAGCGGGACAGCUUCCCAAGGCCAGAGACACCCUGGGCUCUGUAGCUCAUGUGCUGAUGGGUGCUUCUAGAGAAUGACCUUGGCUGCCUUGUAGUUAUUGUUAAAGUACUUGGAUUCCAGGAAGGCUCACUGGGGCUCAGGAGACAAACCACACAUUUCCUCAUUGGCUUAUAGCCCUACUAGCUUUAAAUAAUGAACAAUAAAAGUGGAAAAGUUGUGCUUUGUGAUAAUUUUUAGUAGUAUUUUAUUCUUGGGAAAGGGUAUCGAGAAAUAACUUCAUCCAGAGCAAACGAAGCAAGUGGGUGUCUGUCUCAAGCACCAUUCUAAGCCAAGCUGGAGUUCCCACAUUGAAAGGACCAGCUUCUCUGAGUGGGUGGUUGGAUUGUGUGGAGCUCUGUAAGAGUAACACCGUAGGAGUAAACGUUCAAACCUCACAGCACAGGCCAGGGUCAGCAGGACCCGGCUCUGGAAUCCUAAGUUAGGGUUUGUGCAUCCUUGUGCUUUUGAGGACCUUGCAGGGGAGCUGAGUAGCUGUGGUUCUACACAAAGCUUUGCUGUUCUAGAACUUUGUUUUUGUUGUUAGUUUGGUUUUGUUUUGCUUUUGUUUUUAGACAAAGUCUGCCUGGGUAGACACGGCUGUUCUUAAACUCAUGAUCUUCUCCUUCAGCUGUUACAUGUGCAGGCUGCCACAGCUAGUUUUCUUGCCUAGAAUUUUCAUAUCGUGCGUCCAGUUAGAAGACUGUGAUCUAAGCCCUGUGGGAAGUAUUUGAUGUUGACUGGGCCCAAGCCAGGGCCAUGAGCAGAACUGGCCAGGCGUCUUACUCAGGCACUCUCCUGGUUCUUCAGACCAUCCCACUCCUCCUGACUGAGAAGGUGAAGUUAGCAGAGAUGAGGAACCUCUCCAGGGUCAGGCCCUAACCACAGCAGACUGGUUCUGAAGGCACCAUGCAGACCCCUCCUCUGUUGCCUACCUAGCUCCAUGUGAAGCACCAAGCUGGGUAGCUAGGGUCAGAAGAGAGGACCCACAGCCCUGAGGUCAUUGGCCCAAGCGAAGUAGGUCAGUUCUCUCUCCCAGGCUUUUGGUAGGGUCCUCUCUGUGUCCCAGGAGCCAUUUGUGUAGUAUGCUAUUGACACAUAAACAUCUUUGUAUUACCUCCACCUGACAGUGUCUGCUCUAGAUAAUCACUGAGUUGAUGUAAACACAAAUGUGUGAAAGUGACUGAGGGUGUCAACCCUCUGGGAAACAGCAAGCCUGUGCCAAGAGCCAGGGACCUGGUAGGCUAGUGAUGAGACGUGUGACUGAGGCAACUUAUAAAAGAACAUUUAAUUAGGGGUUCCAGAGAGUCCAUAAUCGUCAUGGCAGGAACCAUGGAGGCAGACAGGCAGGCAUGGUGUUUAGUUCAGAUGCUCGAAGCUUACUGGUGGCAUAAACAGGUGGCAGAGAGCCAUAGAUCAGGAGAGACUGGGCCUGAUGUGGGUUUUUUGAAAUCUCAAAGUCCACCCCCAGUGACACCUCCUCUUUCAAGAAGGCCACACUUCCAGUCUUUCCCAAACAGUCAAUCAGCUGGGAACCCACAUUCAAGGGUAGGAGCCUGUGGGGGGACAUUCUCAUUAAGUCACCACAGUUAGGAUCCUGGGGUUUUAUUUGUUUUGGUUUUGAGGUGGAAUUUCAGUGUGUGGUUCUGACUGUCCUUGAAUUUACAGAGAUCUGCCUGCCUCUGUCUUCAGGUGCUGGGAUUAAAGGUGUGUUUGCCGCACCCAGCUCUGGGUUUUCUGUCUCUGUCUGGUAGUGUGUGAGUCCUUGGCAGAGUUGCCAAGCAUUCUCUUUUAAAGUUGACUUGCUUUAGUUUGCUACCUAGUUAACAGUGCAUCCAGUUAACUGCUUAGCGUCCAUUACGAGUACAUGAUGACCCUCUAAAAACCAGGAACUACAAACAUUUUAACCCUUUUUCCUAGGAACUUCUGAACGCGUAUCGUUGAGGCCUACAGCUUGAUGCCUUGGUAGAUGCACACACUGUACACUGAUCACUAUGACCUCUUACCUCUGCAUAGUUACUGUGUCAGGCUUCUCUAGAGGAGAAGGCACCACAGAAUGAAUAUAUAACAGUAAGAGACUUAGUAACCAGACUCGACCUGAGUAGCCCAACACUGACCGUCUGCACACUGGGGAAGUUGGGAACCCAGCACUGGCUGCUCAGGUCAUGAGUCAGUCCCCCUCCAUCACUGACGGCCUGGGGGAUUUCUGGAGAGCAGCUGGUCUCCAGUCUAUGUUCAAGCCAAAGAAUCCUGGCUCUAAUGUCAAUGAAGGAUCAUUGCAGCUCCAUUGCUGGCAAUAGGGUAGAAGCCAGCAAUAUACUUUGCAGCAAGGGCUCAAGUACUAGGAGAGCCACCACAACCACUACCACAAUCACAACAACGAUAUAAUAAAAGCCACUUGACAUUGCCAUCAGUAGUAUACAAGGCUCCUUUCCCUUAUCCAGUGCUUGUUUUUUUCCUCAAUCCCUCCUUAAUUUCCUUUCUCUGAUGACUGGAACCAUGAGCAGCAUCUUGUGCACUUCUGAGUCAUUUUAAUGUCUGGAUUCCCUUGAGAAGCAUCUACUUAGGACUUUGCUCAUCUUUAAAGUCAGGUUAUUUACAGUUUUGGUAUUCAGUAGCCUUAUAGAUUCCAUGCCAGAUGGUUAUACUUGAAUCUUCACUCCCCAAACAACCCUAAAAUACCAUGGAGUCAGGAAGAGCUGGCGUGUUAAGUCCCAGCACGUCUAAACACCUUGUCUAACAGAGCUGUCCUUGUGUUCUGAAACAGUGGGUGAUGUGGGAAUGGCAGCCAUUGAGUAGGUGGCAUGGGGCUUGGGUAUGGAUUUUCUCAGUAAGGGGUAAUAUUAUUGGAUACUAACAUUUUGAAAAGGAAACAAUAGACUGCUAAAUGUGAGUCCCUGCGAAAGAUGUGGAAAUCAUCUUCAUAGAAACUAGGAAGUUGGCCCUGAACUGGGUGAAGGAGACUCCAUGCCUAUUGUUCAUUCACAACUCCCAUCAUGCCUCUACCUUGAAUUCACAGAUAACCUCACCACUGUUAGUGUGACUGUGUGGUCAGCUGGUGUGCCUUAAGUAGCUAGCUGCAGCUGGUGCAGAGGUUUUUUUUUUAAUAUGAAGAACAACUAAAAGUGAUUGCUGAGUUUGGUAAAUCAUGGAAUGAAAUCAGAGCUAUAAUUCAGAAUGCUGGAUUUUAUUGCCCUUUGACCUCUGGUGGGAUUCUUAUCUCACGCAACCUCUGUGACCCCACAGGUUGUCCGCAUGCAGGGAUGUGCACUUUUUUGCUUCUGAGAACUAUUUUGAAGAUCGGGGAGAUGAGGGGUGAGGAGAUGCCCUGUAGACUAGUGCAUGGUAUGCACACUGAAGCUGCUUUCUGUGGUCAGGGACAGCCUGCAUCCCCAGGCUUCUGGAGAGGAGAAUGGCAGGACAACUGGACACAGAUAGGCAUACAGGAAAAUGGCAUCCAAACAUGAAGACAGAAGUUGGGUAGCACACCUGGAAGUCACAGGUGCAGGAGAUUGCUUGUGAACCACCAGAAGCUGGGAGGGACGCCUGGAACGGAUUCUCCUCUCAGCCCCCAGAAAGAACCAGCCUUGCCGACACCAUGACCUCAGAAUCGUCAGAACUGAGAGACAAGAAGUCUGCCAUGAAAACCUACUUUGUGUGCUUUGUACAGCCGUUCAGGCAAACCCUGUAGUUUACAACCCUCAGUUUCAAAGAUGGAUGCUAACUUCGGCCCUCAGUCUGGUUCUAGUUGAGAGGUCCAGACAAUUCUCAAGCUGCUGUAAUGGUUCAUUCCUGUGAUGCACAGAUUUACCAAACACUUGCUGUUCUUUUCUGCCUCUGCUGUAACAAUCCCCUACCCAGCCAAGAUUUCAGCUAUCCGAUGUCACCAUUCUUUCCUUUGAGUCCCUCGAGGCACUGUCCUCCCUUCCCUAUUAAUAUGAUCUGCCUUCCAUCGACGGAGGAUACUGUUUUAUACUCCCCCUCCCUACCCCCCCCCCCACAUCCUAUACAGUCCUGAUCAGCUUCCCAGGUAUUUGUUACAGGCAUCUCCCUCCACGCUCGAAGCCAACCCUUUCAGAGCACAUUGGAAUCUUUGUCUUACCAGUGUUCCUUUGCCAGCAGAGCACUUUGACUACAGUGAUGCCUGUUUCCUGUAUUGGCACUGAGGACCUGUUGUAAAGUGUCUGACUGGAUGAUGUAACUGUAUCUGAAAUGAGAUGUGGUGAUCAGGAGCUUGUGUCAGGAUGCCCAGUGGGAUGCUGGUCUCUCUGACUCAUCUUUUCGAGGACAUACGCCUCAGACAAAGAGACCAAGACAUAAAUGCUAAUAAAAGCUCAAGAAAUCCUCUCCAGGAAGGGGGAUGCCUUCCUGCUCACCGAGGCUCAUGUGCUUAGGAGGCUGUGGUGGCUGUGAGAUCACUGGCUGACCUGGGGCCAAGGGUUACUCCUCCCACCCACGGCUUCCAUAGCAGUGAUAGGCACUGACCUUUGAGUAAACCGCCCCGUGGAAACUGCGCCGUCACCAGUGACCCAGACUCCACCUAUGUUUUCAGAAGCAGAGGCCGGGGUUGUGGCUCAGGGAUCGUGUGUUUGCCUACAACGUCUGAGAGCCUGGGUCCCACCCUCAGCUCUGCCACCAGGUAAAUCUACAAGGCGUUCUGUCCGACAAACUGGAAAGCUGGGCUAUGUGGGCAGUCAUCCUGACUACCCGCUUCUGGCUUCCCUUUCUUUUAUGGGUCUUGUUUGUAUCUUUAAUAUUGUGGAGGCUUUUAAAAUAAAGAGUACUGAGUGUAGACUUGGCUACAA